rnacentral:lncRNA from 1 species
GCAGGGCCGGAUUAAGAGCACAGUGGGCCUGGUGCUGACAAUUAUGAUGGGCCUAAUUAUGGAAUCUUAUCGACCAAAAACACUAAAACAAUCAUACCUCCCAGGCGUCAUGUAUCUGAUGGAGAUGGUGCUGGAGGGAAACUCAUACUCUAUGCUAAUUUCUCUCUAAUUUAUGCUUUCAUUUUUCAAGUAAAUCCAUAACCCCUAGCAGCAGUGUCCAGUGAAGCAGGAAGUCAAUGGGCGGGGUAAAAGGGUGUGUCACUGGCGCGAAUCACGUGACAAGACCUGCCAAAAGGGGUGAACAUGCCCAAAAAGGGGGCAUGUUUGUCCAAAGAAUUGGAAGGUCAGCCUGGCAUGAAUGCAUGUCAAUCCUGCAGGCUGUCCAACUAAGGGCAUACAAUGCAGGAAGCACCUUGAGCUUGACAUAAAUGCGUCUAAUGAUGCGCUCACUCCAUUCUUUCUAAGGACUGUCCCCUAGCACUCGCUUGUCCACUUGUCUCCUUACCUUCUUACUAGCAGGCAGAAGUUCCUGGUAUAGUCUGAGACAGAGAAAAGGUGUCUGUAGUGAGUGUAGAAGAAAGGGGACAUGCCACAGUGUUAGAGAGACCAACGUCUGCAUUACCUAAACUAACUUUAAUGUCAGCCAGUGCACACAAGUUUUGUUCCCAUACAUCCCUCUUAAGCUUCCAAACUUAAAGGGACACUAUAGUCACCAGAACAACUACAGCUUAUUGUAUUUG